UAAAUUCAGAGUUUUUCGAUACCAAAAUUAUAUAUAUUACACAUUAAUUAAUCAAUCUCAUAAAUCAUCUAUAAUUUAUACAUGUCUUUCUUUCUUCAUACCAUUACUAGAACCGAAUUUCUAAUCAAACUCACAUAUAUAUACACUUAAUAGUUCCAAAUUAACUAAUUAAUAAAUUAUAUUAACCUCCAAGCAUGAUUCAAUGAUACUACUAAUGGCUCUAAAACUAUUCACUUGUCUAAGCCUUAAUCUAUAACUUCUCCUAACAAUAUUUAUCCAAGUUCCUAAAUUAGCUUACAUCAAUAUUAUACCGAUUGCUUCUUAACAAAAUUAUAUUUGUUUGAUUA
rnacentral:lncRNA from 1 species